UUAGAGUUUGAUCCUGGCUCAGGAGAAACUCUGGCGGCGCACAUAAGACAUGCAAGUCGAACGGAACUUAGUUGAAUGUUUACAUGAUACGAAAGUUUAGUGGCGGACGGGUGAGUAACACGUGAGCAACCUACCUUCAGGAGGGGGAUAACAUUGAGAAAUCAGUGCUAAUACCGCAUAAAGUAUACCAACCACAUGGUAAGUAUGCCAAAGGAGAAAUCCACCGGAAGAUGGGCUCGCGGCUGAUUAGUUAGUUGGUGGGGCAACGGCCUACCAAGACGAUGAUCAGUAGCCGAGCUGAGAGGCACAACGGCCACAUUGGGACUGAGACACGGCCCAGACUCCUACGGGAGGCAGCAGUGAGGAAUAUUGGUCAAUGGUCGGAAGACUGAACCAGCCAAGUAGCGUGAAGGAUGAAGGUUCUAUGGAUUGUAAACUUCUUUUAUACGGGAAUAAAGCCCACUACGUGUAGUGGUUUGUAUGUACCGUAUGAAUAAGCAUCGGCUAACUCCGUGCCAGCAGCCGCGGUAAUACGGAGGAUGCGAGCGUUAUCCGGAUUUAUUGGGUUUAAAGGGAGCGUAGACGGGAUGUUAAGUCAGUUGUGAAAGGCUGCGGCUCAACCGCAGCACUGCAGUUGAUACUGGCGUCCUUGAGUGCGGUUGAGGUGUGUGGAAUUCGUGGUGUAGCGGUGAAAUGCUUAGAUAUCACGAAGAACUCCGAUUGCGAAGGCAGCACACUAAUCCGCUACUGACGUUGAGGCUCGAAAGUGUGGGUAUCAAACAGGAUUAGAUACCCUGGUAGUCCACACGGUAAACGAUGAAUACUCGCUGUUGGCGAUAUUUGUCAGCGGCCAAGCGAAAGCAUUAAGUUUUCCCACUUGGGGAGUCACCCCGGCAACGGUGAAAACUCAAGGGAAUUGACGGGGGCCCCGCACAAGCGGUGGAGUUUGUGGUUUAUUUCGAAGCAACGCGAAGACCCUUACCAGGGCUUGACAUCCCGGUGACCGCUCUAGAGAUAGAGUUUUUCCUUCGGGACACCGGUGACAGGUGGUGCAUGGUUGUCGUCAGCUCGUGUCGUGAGAUGUUGGGUUAAGUCCCGCAACGAGCGCAACCCCUAUUGUUAGUUGCUACGCAAGAGCACUCUAGCGAGACUGCCGUUGACAAAACGGAGGAAGGUGGGGACGACGUCAAAUCAUCAUGCCCCUUAUGUCCUGGGCCACACACGUACUACAAUGGUGGUUAACAGAGGGAGGCAAUGGAGCGAUCCGGAGCAAAUCCCUAAAAGCCAUCUCAGUUCGGAUUGCAGGCUGCAACUCGCCUGCAUGAAGCUGGAAUUGCUAGUAAUUGCGGAUCAGCAUGCCGCGGUGAAUACGUUCCCGGGCCUUGCACUCACCGCCCGUCAAG
rnacentral:rRNA from 1 species